rnacentral:snRNA from 1 species
AGCUGCGCUCAAACCUAG